rnacentral:lncRNA from 1 species
UUUAAAAGUGCCCAGCCAUGCUAGCACCCAUCAGUAUUCCCAGAAGUUGGGAAAAUGAGGCAGGAUUGCGGGGUGUCCAAGACCAACCUAGACUGUAUAGUAGUUCCAGGACAGAUGAGGGGAUAUAGUGAUAGCUUGUCUCGAAAAUAAAUAUCAAUGGAAACCCAUCGCUAAGUGCAACUUACCCAUAAGUGGGGCACCAUGUUUGAUUGAACACAGUGGCUGUGGACUCCUGGUUACAGUGCUUAUGCACAGGAAGAGUUGAGACAUCAGGGUUAAAUGUGCACAUUUGGCUGUGUGUACACGCGGGAGCAUUUACACACUGCAGGAGCAUUUGCAGCUCACGUUUGUUUGCAGUGUACAGACAGGAUUGCGAAGUUCAAAUUAGUAUUCAGCGCACUUCAUUUCCAGCAGAUGUUUCGUAAGCCAGUGAUUGUUGAAGUACUUUUAUAACCAUUUUAACCUGUAUUUUGUGUUUCAGAAAGAGAAAUAUUCUACAUUGGUACUGUAAAGUGAGGUUGUUAGCAAGGAGUGCUUUGAUGGUUUUUUUGUUUUUUGUUUUUUUGUAGAAAAUGUAUUGGUUCAGCAAAGACGUGAACGUGUAGAGCAUCUCAAGAGCCGUAUUUCCAAUCCAGCUGUUGGUGUUUCUGUCUUAACCUUCUGUUAGUUCUCUUCCUGUCUGUCCUGUUUGGCGGUGGUUGGGAUUGAAUCUAAGGCCUUUUCCAGACAAGCACUAUCCCCUAGGCCAGGCCUCCACACCUUCUCUCCUACCUUCAGAGUCAUGGAAAUAUUUAAAGAUUUUCUGGGUGUUUUCUUUGGUGGUGGAGUGCAUGGGGCUCUGUGUUUGACCCACUGUAAUGACUUACAGUUAACAUUUAACAGUAGAGUUAAUUGUUGGUAAGCUCUGGGAAUUCCCAGUGUCUCAAAAAAAAAAAAUUAAAGAAAAAUUUGGCAAUGUA